AUUUCCUGGAAACUUCUUAAAGUGAUAAGAGUGGCUCAAGAGCUGUGGAAAGUGACUGGUUCAGCGUCCUCCAAGAAGGAGAGUGAGGGUUCUGUACGUGUGCGAACCCAGGCCCUCCCUCCCUGGCUCUGAGUCACACAGGGCGGCCCCUGUGCGCGCUCCCGAGAGUCUUCAUGCCUCCUGCAGGGGGUGCCGAGAGUGCAUGGAGUCCCGUGUGCAGGGCGCCUGGCUCAGUUCCUGGCACCGAGGCCGCCCUCACACAGCAGUCCUCGUCCUACAUGUCCUCACCUUGCACUUGAGGAAAAUGGGGCUGCACACCACCCGUGACCAGCCCCUGGCCAGGCUUCCAGAGUAGCUUCUGCUGCAACCGCCAGCCACAGCAGGGCGAUGGGAAGGUACGUGGAGAAGGGUCAUCUGUGAGCUGUGUGGAACUUCUGCAGGACUGGGGAAGGCAUACCCCCUCCUCCAGGCUGCCCACGGGGAGUCGGCCGAGAGGAACAGCACAGAAGCCAAGAGGUCUUCAGUCAGAAGGCUCUGGGCCAAGGUGUUUCCAGGCUCGUGCACGCCGGGGGCACCUCGCUGUGCUGUGCCCCCAACCACCACACAUGCGCACACACACACACUCACACUCUCAGUGUUAGACCGUGUCGGAGAAGAGGCUGCGCUGAGGCCCAGAUGGCACCCAUGGUUCUCCAGCCUUGCGAGCGUGGAGUCCGAAUGGAAUAGCCUCCUCACUAUAGUCAUCAUGAUACUAACAUUUGUUGCAGGCACGUGCUUAACAGAUUGCAGCUGACUGCAGAGUCUGAGCCAAGCACAUCUGGAUCUCACUGAGGGCGUGGCAGAGAGCAGGGGCUUUGGAACUGGGUUCGCGCCCCAGCUGGGCCCCUCGCUAGCUGGGAGGGAGGCGGGGACUAGGCCCCGUGCUCGUCUGGGCUGGAGUUUCCUCUUCUGUAAAGUAGGGGUGGCAGCACCCACCACGCGGCAUUGCCUGAAAAGCCCCAGCCGGGCCCUCGGAGGACAGACAGCGAGUCGUGGCCAUUAUAACUGCUGUCAUUAUUUCGUUCUAGGGGCUGAUUGGAGGCCCUCUCUGGAGUUCGUCUUUGUUUCUCAAACUCCUUGCCAGAAAGCAUCCACUGACGUUAGCAGGAUGUCCGAGGAGCUCUGGCUGCGUUUCACCCUCAGCCCCAGGACUCGGCGUGAAUGACUCAGCUCCGACCGGGAAUCUCCCCUCGUUCAGUGCACACGUGAAUCUUCAGGGAAAUUCACAGAAAACUCGGGGAGAAAUGGAAGCCAAUCGUCCACAUUCAGGCUGCCCAGGGCCGCACUCCAAACAGCCGGCUGUCGCUGACAGAUGAACACAGCUCCCACGGAGUUAACAGAUGUACGCACGUCUGAGGCAGUCAUGCGGCAAGAGACUUUGGGGCCAAUCCUUCCCGUUUUGACAGUGUGUAAUCGAGGUGAAGCCAUAAAUUUUAUAAACAAGAAUAAACGACCCUUAGCAACAUAUGUCUGCUCGACCCUUCCAAGGUGAUCGUAAAUAAAGGCACCUGCUCGCGGGGGAGGGACGUGGGCGCUGCAGAUGGCCAGUGACGAGGGCCAGAGGAUCUGAGCCUCGGGAGCAUCUGGUGCGGGGAGAGGUCACCCAGAGACCCC
rnacentral:lncRNA from 1 species